GACGAACGCUGGCGGCGUGCUUAAUACAUGCAAGUCAACUUGACUUUAGAUAGCAAUAUCGAAAAGUAGGGUGGCGCACGGGUGCGUAACGCGUAGGUAAUCUGCCCUGAGGUCUGACAUAACCCGUCGAAAGGCGGGCUAACAUCAGAUGAUAUAUAAUCACGACAUCGUGGAAAUAUCAAAUCUUCGGAGCCUUGGGAUGAGCCUGCGUCUGAUUAGGUAGUUGGCGGAGUAAUAGCCCACCAAGCCUACGAUCAGUAGCUGGUCUGAGAGGAUGAUCAGCCACACUGGAACUGAGACACGGUCCAGACUCCUACGGGAGCAGCAGUAAGGAAUAUUGCUCAAUGGGGGAAACCCUGAAGCAGCAACGCCGCGUGAAGGAUGAAAUACUUUUGAUGUAAACUUCUGUAAGAUGGGAAAAAUAUUCUCCUCGGGAGAAUUGAUUGUACCAU
rnacentral:rRNA from 1 species